AUUUAUAUAAGAGUUUGAUCCUGGCUCAGGAUGAACGCUGGCGGCGUGCCUAACACAUGCAAGUCGAGCGGAGUGCUUGGUUGGAAAUUUUCGGAUGGAAAACCAAGUUACUUAGCGGCGGACGGGUGAGUAACGCGUGGGCAACCAACCUUGAUCAGGGGGACAACAUUGGGAAACCAGUGCUAAUACCGCAUAGCUCUGCCGGAUGGCAUCAUCUGGCAGAGAAAGAUUU
rnacentral:rRNA from 1 species